CAGCCGCCGCGGGAAUACGGAGGGUGCAAGCGUUAUCCGGAUUUAUUGGGUUUAAAGGGUCCGUAGGCGGAUCUGUAAGUCAGUGGUGAAAUCUCACAGCUUAACUGUGAAACUGCCAUUGAUACUGCAGGUCUUGAGUAAAUUUGAAGUGGCUGGAAUAAGUAGUGUAGCGGUGAAAUGCAUAGAUAUUACUUAGAACACCAAUUGCGAAGGCAGGUCACUAAGAUUUAACUGACGCUGAUGGACGAAAGCGUGGGGAGCGAACAGGAUUAGAUACCCCUGUAGUCCCUGUCUCUUUACA
rnacentral:rRNA from 1 species